AUGCUUAUAGCCUAAGCAGCACAUAUACUGAAAUUGGAAUGGGACAGGGAAGAUUAGCAAGGCCCUUGUGCAAGGGUGACACACAAAUUUGUGAAAUGCUCCAUAUUUUU